CCAGAAGCCCCUCUUGUAGUGAAGAAGGGAGGGCGAUGGGAAGAAAAGCCGACUACAGGAGAUUAGGGUGAAGGGAUGGCAAUGGUGAAAAAGAAAAGACUCUCAAAAAGGCAGCAGGGCGAAAGUGCCAAGAAUGAAGAAGAACCCUAUUAAAUAAAAGGGCGCACGGCCUUUAGGAGAUUUCAAAUCGAUACGGAUUUCUAGCAUAUGCUACGCAUUAGCGCCCUAUUUGUUAUAGGCAUAUCAUCAGUUUCAACAUUAAAUGCACCACAACAAGAUGAAGAUGGCGUCUGCAUGGGUUUCAAAAUGAGCUCAUGAUUAUAUCAUCGUCAUCUUCACCUGCAAAAUCAUGCACAGUCAUCUAUUUGAAAAAUCUCUUCACAUCCCCU
rnacentral:lncRNA from 1 species